UCUUAGUGUUUGAAGGCACUACUUUAAAUCUUGCCUUAUUUGAACCACCCCAUUGAGAUAAAACCACCUGUUCCAUUGCACCUUUUUCCAAGCCAUCAGUAUGGUGUUGCAAAGAUGGUGUGACGUUGUCCUUUGUACCUUCUUUUUCCAAAAUCUCUAGAGAUGUUCCCUCCAGCAAUUUAUUACCAGGCAAGAAUUCAACUUUCGGU
rnacentral:lncRNA from 1 species